rnacentral:snRNA from 1 species
GGAUAUGAUGGCAAUCUGGCGCCCCAUUGGUUGUCAGGGUUGAUUUGGCUGAUCUGGCUGACCAAUGAGUGAUCACUUUCCCCUCACUGUCCAUGUGUGUCCCUCCUGAAACUGCACACCUGGUGGGACCAUCCCAGAUGGUGGUGUAGCAUUUUUUGGUCCAGGGUACUGGUCAAAGAUAUGCUAUAGCUGUGCGCACCUGCUACAGCCUCCAAAAGCUCAGCUUCUCAGUGCUCACAGAAGUUAAUAUUAUGAAGAUAUUACAUUAACAAAGAAAUUCUGU